rnacentral:rRNA from 1 species
UACGUAGGGCGCAAGCGUUGUCCGGAAUUAUUGGGCGUAAAGAGCUCGUAGGCGGUUUGUCGCGUCUGUCGUGAAAGCUUGGGGCUUAACCCCAAGUCUGCGGUGGAUACGGGCAGACUAGAGGCAGGUAGGGGAGAACGGAAUUCCCGGGGUAGCGGUGAAAUGCGCAGAUAUCUGAAGGAACAUCAGUGGCGAAAGCGACUUCCUGGACCAAUACUGACGCUCAUGUGCGAAAGCGUGGGGAGCAAACAGG